AGGGAGACACAGCGGCAAGAAGCUGCUGGGGGUCAUUCUUGUGGCUUUUCAUCCUCUAAACACUGAUGUAAAUUCAUCGUUUGGCUUCUGUCUCACGCUGUUUUUGGACAUUGUGCCGUGAACAGUGGAAACACAGACGAGAGGAAUGUUAUAAUCCUGAAAAGGGCAGGUAAAUACUUGAAGGACCAGGAUGUUAUUAUAUUUCCUUGGUACAAAGCCAAGUGUGACUAGCUGCUUCUGACAAUCAGCAGGCAAAUACUUGAAGGACCAGGAGUAGUAUUUCCUCAGUACAAAGCCAAGUGUGACCAGCAGCUUACAACAACCACCAGGAUGUGGCCAGCUCUGCCAAGGUGGCAAGUGGAUACCAAUCUCAAAAUGUCCUUGAAAUGAUCGACAUGCUCGGCCUGAAGGCAAUGAAGAGUUCACAAAGGGUUAGGAGUCACGUGCAGAGCAGACUAGAUGCUGCCAGACCUGCUAGGCUUUUCCAGCAACUUUGGUUUUGUUCCUGAUUUACAACAUCCGUAGUUUUUCCGUUUUUUCUCUGCAAAUACGGUUGUUGUUUGACAUAGAGUACGCACAUCUGCACUCAACGUUUACAUACCAAUAGUCACCACUUCCAAAGGUUUACUUCAUGAAAAGCGGCUCCAAAAGCUGUCUCUUUGACACUGUCCCGCUAAGAUUUUGAAAUUUGCCAUUCUUGCUUUCCUGCCCUGAUUGAUGAGAAACUUCAAACAGAAUCAGUUCAUUUUCCAGGCACGGUACUGCCAAGUGAAUAUUGGCAAAGAUUCCCAACUUCCUGAAGUGGCCUGUAUCUACUUAAGGAAGUAUUCUAUUCUGAAUGGGGGGUUACGGUCAACGUCAAAGAGAUAAAUGUUCUCUGUAACGGCUGGUACAAAGUACAGCUUUCUGCUGAUUUUGAAUGUUUAAAAAGAAACACAUCAUUAGUGCAUCAAUUACAGAUCAUGGUAAAUUCACCACAAUCUUACCAGAUCACUGGGCUGCUCUUCCAUUAGAGAGAGACGACUGAAUGGUGAACUGACCUGAGGCUCACCAUGCCUCAGGCAAGGGAGAGGUUGAGAAGGAGAGUCCUUCACGGUUACCUCAUCCGACGUAGGAUUUGAACCCAUGCUGUUGCCGUUUCAAUGCAUCACAAAGCAGCCAUCCAGGCUAGCCCUACCCCUCCCCUUCUGAGGCAGGAAUAGUCACUGAUCUGGAGCAGGGUGUAAUUACAAAUCAAAUAGCCUUGCCCCUCCCCCACCCCAACAUCAUUGGAGACAAAGAGAUUUGUGAUGAUGCUGUAGCUUUAAGAGAUUAUUUUGUCCUGUUUCUUUUAAGAGAGAGAUUGAAUGAGAGGUGUUGAGCCGGUUUGGUUGAGACCACUUAACUAAACAGCUUGAGGGGCCUUGGGUUUUAUUUUUUAUGGCCUGAAUGGAUGUGGCCACCCCUCACAGAUCAGAAUUUCUGUUUUUUUUUCAGGAGUAUCUGAAGCUAUUGGGGUCGCAACAGACUUGGAAGCUUCAGUGAAUGUCUCCUGGCUGCUACUCUCUCUGAAUGUUCUGUUGAUGUUUUAUCCUCCUGCAUUGGAGUACUGCACAUGAGAAUCCGUGUCUGAAUUUUCUUUUUUUUGCCAAGGGGUGUGUUAAUGAAUGUUACUAUUUUGAAAUCUUUGAUCUAUCUUUGAUCUUAGCAGGACAAUAGGUCAGCACAACAUCAUGGCCUGAUGGGCCUGUACCGUGCUGUACUGUUCUAUGUUCUAUGAAACCGUUAAUUAGCAAUAUUUAGUGUAUCAGUUAUUCUGUUACAUUUCCAAUACAGUUGUUAUUCUUAAUUCCUCUCUCUUUUGUUGUAUUUUGACUACAGUGUUUAAAUAAAUUGUGUUUUGCUUUA